GAUACUCCAUAGCUCAGUGGUUAGAGCAUCCGACCGGUGUACGGAAGAUCAUGGGUUCAAAUCCCGUCGGGAACU
rnacentral:tRNA from 1 species